rnacentral:misc_RNA from 1 species
UCUCCGUAGGUGAACCUGCGGAGGGAUCAUUACUGAGUGAGGGCUCACGCCCGACCUCCAACCCUUUGUGAAUCGUACUCGUUGCUUCGGGGGCGACCCUGCCGGCACUCGGUCGCCGGGCGCCCCCGAAGGUCUCCCAACACUGCAUCUUUGCGUCGGAGUUUAACACAAAUGAAACAAAACUUUCAACAACGGAUCUCUUGGUUCUGGCAUCGAUGAAGAACGCAGC